GCUAAGGCCACCUCAACGUGCGCUGGGCGAUGGGCAGAGCUGUGCGCAACGCCCAGUGAAACCACCACCCCGGGAGAAACGGACAGGAUUCGACAGGAAAAGGGAAAGUCCUGUAGCCCAAACCAGACAAGGAACGGACAGACAAGCUCCACAUCGGUGGAAAUAGUUAGGUAACACAUACUGGACAAAAUUCAUUUGCACAGCAGAAAAGCAAGGCAAGACACUGAUCUACAAAACAGCAAUUGAAAGUUUGGUCAGAGUACGUAAAACAUUGUGUUCCAUAAUGAAGAACAGAGUUAAGCUAAG